UACGGAGGGUGCAAGCGUUGCUCGGAAUCACUGGGCGUAAAGCGACCGCAGGCGGCUUGUCAAGUCCGAUGUGAAAGCCCGGGGCUCAACCCCGGAAGUGCAUCGGAAACUGGCUCGCUUGAGUACGAGAGAGGAAAGCAGAAUUCCUGGUGUAGAGGUGAAAUUCGUAGAUAUCAGGAGGAAUACCCGCGGCGAAGGCGGCUUUCUGGCUCGAUACUGACGCUCAUGGUCGAAAGCGUGGGGAGCAAACAGG
rnacentral:rRNA from 1 species